rnacentral:tRNA from 1 species
UAGCCCUGUGGAUAAGGCUUUGGAUUGCCAAUCCGAAGACGGCGGGUUUGACUCCCGU